AGCAGAGAUGCUUUGGUGCCUUCGGGAACUCUGAGACAGGUGCUGCAUGGCUGUCGUCAGCUCGUGUUGUGAAAUGUUGGGUUAAGUCCCGCAACGAGCGCAACCCUUUAUCCUUUGUUGCCAGCGGUCCGGCCGGGAACUCAAAGGAGACUGCCAGUGAUAAACUGGAGGAAGGUGGGGAUGACGUCAAGUCAUCAUGGCCCUUACGAGUAGGGCUACACACGUGCUACAAUGGCGCAUACAAAGAGAAGCGACCUCGCGAGAGCAAGCGGACCUCAUAAAGUGCGUCGUAGUCCGGAUUGGAGUCUGCAACUCGACUCCAUGAAGUCGGAAUCGCUAGUAAUCGUGGAUCAGAAUGCCACGGUGAAUACGUUCCCGGGCCUUGUACACACCGCCCGUCACACCAUGGGAGUGGGUUGCAAAAGAAGUAGGUAGCUUAACCUUCGGGAGGGCGCUUACCACUUUGUGAUUCAUGACUGGGGUGAAGUCGUAACAAGGUAAGCGUAGUGCU
rnacentral:rRNA from 1 species